rnacentral:rRNA from 1 species
CCUGCCAGAAUCAUAUGCUUGUCCCGAAGCUUAAGCCAUGCAUGUCUUCGAAGUAUAAUAGGAAGUGAUCCAUAAAUCUGCGAACGGCUCCGUAUAUCUGUUAUCACCUUCGGCCACUUAAAAGAUCUCGGAUACCCACGGUAAUUCUGAGGCUAAUACGUAUACGUAACUUGGGCCUCCAGGACACGGCAUCCUCCAGUGGGGAGGGCGCCGGGGCUAUCCGAUUGAUGCCGGGGGGCCCCGCAAGGGGUCCACUGUCAUGAGUGCAGGGUAGUGCGCCACACCGCCAGGGCAUUACAUCUCGCGGGGUGCGCUCCGGGUGCCAGCCCUAUUAACUAGAUGUCCGGUCAAGGCCCGGCCACGGUGAUAACGGGUACAGAGGAUUAGGGUUCGAUCCUGGAGAGGAAGCCUGAGAGAUCGCUUCUACUUCUAAGGAAGGCAGCAGGCGCGCAACGUUCCCAAUGGGGAUACCCUGAGGACGUGAGGGGAUAUAGCAAUGCCCCGCCCAUAAAGCGGGGCAAUUGCAAUGGGGGUCCUCUAAACCCUCCACCGAGUAACAAUUGGAGGACAAGUCUGGUGCCAGCACCCGCGGUAAUUCCAGCUCCGAUAGCAUCUAAUUAAGUUGUUGCAGUUAAAACGCUCGUAGUCUAAGCCAGUGCGCCCUCUGGCCGUCCGGUACCGGGGCAGGGCGCCCACACCGCCGUGGGGGCGGCCCGCGAGGGCUGCUCCUGUGGCGGGCGAGGGCGCCAGCAACGGGGAAGGCGGAUUCGGGGGGCCACUACCUUAGCCUGGGGGCUACGGGGGCGGGGAACUUCAUUGGCCCCCGCCCCUCUCCAGGCCGAUUACUUUGACUAAAUGUGAGCGCUCGAUGCAGGCCCUUGGGGCCUUGAAACCCGCAGCAAAGAAUAACAGAACAGGGGCUCCCUGCCUCCUCUGGCCAGGAUGGGUCAAUGAUUUAUUGGGGGGAUCGGGGUGGGCCACAUGGCGGGGGUAGGGGUGAAAUCCGUUGAUCCUCGCCAGGUGAACUAGAGCGAAAGCAGCCCACAAGUACCCUUUCUUAGAUCAAGAACGAAAGUCUGGGGAUCGAAGAUGAUCAGAUACCAUCGUAGUCCAGACCCUAAAUGUUGCCGGCCAUGGAUGGGCACUAGUCCAUCCCGACCCGGCCCGGACCUUGUGAGAAAUCAUAAGCGUUUGGGCUCCGGGGGGAGUAUGGUCGCAAGACUGAAACUUAAAGGAAUUGACGGAAGAGCACACAAGGAGUGGAGCCUGCGGCUUAAUUUGACUCAACACGGGGAAACUCACUAGGGCAAGAGGGGGGUAGGAUGGACAGCCCAGCAGGGCUUUCCUGAUUCCUCCAGUGGUGGUGCAUGGUCGUUCUUAGUUCGUGGAUUGAUUUGUCUGGUCUAUUCCGCUAACGAGCGAGAACCCUCCCUUUCGAGGUUGGGCCCCUGGGCACGCCGCCCGGGCCUGCCCGGCGUCUCACAAGUGGCGCUGGGCGGGCCUGGGUGGCUGAAAACGCCCCUGGGCAUUCAGUCCGGAGGGACCGGCUCCGAGAAGGAGCCGGCAGCGGGUCAAUAACAGGUCAGUGAUGCCCUUAGAUGCUCUAGGCUGCACGCGCGCUACAAUGGGGCGAACACCGGGCUCUCCUGUGCCUAACGGCGGCGGGUAAUCCGGUUAAAGCGCCCCGUAUCCGGGAUAGGGCCAUGUAACUUGGCCCUUAAACAAGGAAUUUCUAGUAGUCGCCCAUCACCAGUGGGCGACGAUUCUGUCCCUGCUCUUUGUACACACCGCCCGUCGCUCCUACCGAUUGGGCUGCACGGUGAGUUGCCUGGAGGAGGCGGAGGCCCGUAGUGGGGUAUCAUGCACCGAAGGGAGGCGAACCCUGUGGUCUAGAGGAAGGAGAAGUCGUAACAAGGUAU